rnacentral:tRNA from 1 species
UUCUUAGAAGCUUGCAACAGCAAUGAAUUUUUACUUCAUAUAUAGAGAUAUUCUCCUAAGAAA